UAGAGUGUAGGUGCAUGUGCUGGAUC
rnacentral:piRNA from 1 species